rnacentral:rRNA from 1 species
CCGUUGUACACACCGCCCGUCACACCAUGGGAGCGGGUUCUGCCAGAAGUAGUUAGCCUAACCGCAAGGAGGGCGAUUACCACGGCAGGGUUCGUGACUGGGGUG